UACGGGAGGCAGCAGUGGGGAAUAUUGCACAAUGGGCGAAAGCCUGAUGCAGCUAUGCCGCGUGUAUGAAGAAGGCCUUAGGGUUGUAAAGUACUUUCAUCGGGGAGGAAAAACAAAACUAAUAAUUUUAUUUCUUGACGUUACCCGAAAAAGAAGCACCGGCUAACUCCGUGCCAGCAGCCGCGGUAAUACGGAGGGUGCUAGCGUUAAUCAGAAUUACUGGGCGUAAAGAGCACGUAGGUGGUUUUUUUAAAGUCAGAUGUGAAUCCCUGGGCUUAACCUAGGAACUGCAUUUUGAAACUGAAAUACUAGAGUAUCGUAGAGGGAGGUAGAAUUCUAGGUGUAGCGGUGAAAUGCGUAGAUAUCUGGAGGAAUACCUGUGGCGAAAGCGGCCUCCUAAACGAAUACUGACACUGAGGUGCGAAAGCGUGGGGAGCAAACAGGGAUUAGAUACC
rnacentral:rRNA from 1 species